UACGGAGGGGGCUAGCGUUGCUCGGAAUUACUGGGCGUAAAGGGCGCGUAGGCGGCCUUGUAAGUCAGGCGUGAAAGGCCCGGGCUCAACCCGGGAACUGCGCUUGAGACUGCGAGGCUCGAGUUCGGGAGAGGGCAGUGGAAUUCCCAGUGUAGAGGUGAAAUUCGUAGAUAUUGGGAAGAACACCAGUGGCGAAGGCGGCUGCCUGGACCGAUACUGACGCUAAGGCGCGAAAGCGUGGGGAGCAAACAGG
rnacentral:rRNA from 1 species